AAUCAAUUUAAUUACAUCGAAUAGUUUGAGAUUUCAUUAAGUUGUAUAGUUUUGUCACUAUUUCGAUGUUUUCUUUCUAAGAGGAAUUUGAGAUGAUUUUUUCUUUAAGAUUAAUUUGAGCUGAAUUUUUUCAGGGAACCUGAUUGCUUUUUGAAUUUUUAGUCUAGCUCCUUAUCACAGGCUUUUGAAAGUGGAAGUCGCUUAAGGUGGGGAAAAGGGAAAACUGCUUCGACUAUAAGAGGUAUUCAACAUCUUUUGUCUCCAAAAAUGAGGUUCCAGGCUUCCAGCUGACCAGUAUGCACUUGGAAUUGCUGCUUGAAGAUGGGGAGACAAUUUUCAUUGAGAAAUUUUAUUGACAUCUCAGCGAUGAUUUCCCUAAGGAUACCAAAAAGGGAGCUUUCAUUGGCAAUCCGCAAUGCAUUUAGGUAAGGUUUUUGCAUUUGAUUCUUACUACUUGGUUGAUCUAGACUUUCUAAUCCUGUAGAGAUGCAGAUUAUGAAAUGAUGGAAGAAAUGUAAAAUGCUUAUGAAUCUAUUGCUGAAUGGCUUUAAAGUUGAAAUGUCUGUAAUUUAGUGCUUUAUUGCUUGUGCCGGAAGAUCUUGAUUUACCAAUAUCUUCUUCUGUAUCUGGAUGAAAUGCCUUCUGCUAUUAUAUAGAGCAUUUGACUUUUUUCUAUUAUAGUAGUAACUUGUGAGAGGAACGAAUAUGUGGUAUUGCAAACUUUACUAAAUACUAAAU